rnacentral:rRNA from 1 species
UACGUAGGGUGCAAGCGUUAAUCGGAAUUACUGGGCGUAAAGCGUGCGCAGGCGGCUAAGCAAGACAGAUGUGAAAUCCCCGGGCUUAACCUGGGAACUGCAUUUGUGACUGCAUGGCUAGAGUACGGUAGAGGGGGAUGGAAUUCCGCGUGUAGCAGUGAAAUGCGUAGAUAUGCGGAGGAACACCGAUGGCGAAGGCAAUUCCCUGGACCUGUACUGACGCUCAUGCACGAAAGCGUGGGGAGCAAACAGG